AAAUGCCCUGAGUGCUUGGACCGAAUUUAGCAUGAAAAAGUUACUUCAGUGCUGUUGGCUGCUUUACUGUUGCAUCAAGUUGUUUGAACACCUUCUUGAAAAAUCAGUUAACCUGUGGGAAGGGAGCCAGCCAGAGACAGCUCUGAAACUACGCAUUUGAUCUGAAUACCUACCUAAUGCAAAGGUCUUGUAGGUCAGAGAGCUGAUGCUGAGGAUGACAGCUUCCAAGGUGUUUCAAAGAAAGAACCCCAAUUGCUGCUCCUGGGCUCAAUGGGAGAGAAGCCUGCCUUCUGCAGAGGUGUGAGUGAAGGAGCAGAAAAUUGAGGAGGGCUUGCUUUGUGUGGGGAAGAUUGAGAACUACGGACAGAGGACACCGCAUUUCAUCAAAGGGAGAGGAGUAGAUUUGAUUUCAGCAGAGAUACAGCCUGAAAACUGAAGGAAGAAACUAUUCCUACUAGAAAGCAGCAUGUGUAACAGCGAUAACGGUAUGAAUCAGUCAUUUCCCUUCUCACUCCUCCAACUCCAUCUGCUGAUCACUCAUGUGAGAGCUGCUUCUGAGGAUUGUUGAAGAUAUGGAACAGUGAAAGCCGCCUUGUCAAGCCUCCAAGAGCAAAUAGCAGCAGAGAUGAGAUUUUGAAUACAUUAGUAAUAAUACUGUAUUGAUCUCAAAACACUUUACAAACGUUAACUAAUUAAGCUUCAAAACAGUGAAGUAAGUUUGCAUUAAUAAAGCCUAUUUAGCAGAUGAAGAAGUGGAGAUAAACAAAGGGUAAGAGAAGUGACCAGAGUCAAGUGGUGAGUGAAGGUCAGAAAAAGGUGUUCUGACUUCUAGUCAUUCUGCCUUUCAUGUGAUCUCAUUGAGAAAAUUUUUGCAGUGAAGCUUGCAGCCAUUUCAAAUUGAAUCAUUUGGGACGUUUUAUCUCAAGCCUGAGCAUUUCUUACAAGAAUCAAGAUGAUAUAAAAGCUUACCAAAGUAAUAAACAUUUUUAGCCUCUCAGGUCCAGCUUUGAUUGACAAGGGGCCAUUUCUGAAAGCGAGGGCAGGGGGAGAGGCAGCAGUGGCCAUUGGGUUUUCUGUGUUGUGAGCCUUUCUUUUCUCAUUUGUGUUGCUCUGGUGGUACUAGCUGGAUAGAAAACUGCCUUAACCUGCUAAAUGGGAAUUCACGUGGGCUUGACACUGAUGUCAUGCAUCUAUCCCACCCUUCCUAUGGGAGGAGUAAAGCCUUCUCAAGGGAUUGCUCUGCUCUGGUGAUCCCAGCCAGUUUGUGCAGCCUUGGGGGCUAUUAUAGAGUGGAAUGGCUUAGAGUCAGUGGAGCAACCCUGGCUUAAAACCAACACAACAAAGUGGAGGAUCAGGCACACAGUAAGUGAAUCAUGCAGAGCAGUGCUGACCCAAACAGAGGAUGACGGCUUAGAACAGGUUCCUCAGAGACAUUAAGUUAUCCUUGGAAAGGCAGGUCUCAAAGCCAAGGCUUAUAGUUUCUUAAUGGGUUUCAUUAGGAAGAAAGGAAAGGAACUGGAAAAAGACGUGUAGCUUAAAGGGAACAGCUUCAGCACAGUCUAAAAUUUGUUCCAUUUUUCAGUAAAAGCAGCCAAUCCUGCCUUGAAAUUCAUGUCCCUUCAAAGUUCAAGGAGGCCUGUAUUGUUGCCCUGCUCAGUCAGAACGCUCCAGCCACUUAUUGUAUGUGGAUUGCACUCCAGGGACUGACUGAAAAAAAUGAUUUAGUGAAAGCUUGUACCCAAAACACAUCAUUGGCCUCUGAUCUCUGAACAUUUAAAUAUUUCAAGCUUACAAGCGGACGCUGUCACGAGGACGGACCCUGAUCCCUAGCUGAUUCUAGAACAUCUGUUGAGGCAUUUACCAAGUUAAUAGAUUAGCUAUGAGAAUCAGGCAGGUGUUUUUCACCAAAGCCAGAAAACAUCAAAAUCAGAUUGCCCUCCAAGUCUUUCAGCACAGGCAAUCGAGUUAGAAUGACUCAUAGAGUCUAACAGAUAAUAAAACACACAUAACAUUUGCUUUAAGGUACAGGUGGGGAUAUUUUGUACUGUGCUUAGGAGAAAGAAAAACUAACUCUAUUUGGGAAUAGAGUAAUUGAAUACAGAUGGGAGGAGGCAAAUGAAAGAAUUUAGCAAAUAUCUCAGUGGAAUAGCUAAUGGGAACGAGACAGAAUAGGAAAUUAAAAAUUAUUCGAAGCAGAUGGACCAUUCUUUGAGUUUUUUAAAAUUUAUUAGGGCUGCGAAAAAAAUGUGUCUGUUUAUUUUCCACGGCCAUGAAAUUAAUGACUUGGUGAGUUGUGCUUGUGCAAUUUUAUGACUGCCAUGUCAUUUGUCAUAAUUUGGGUGCUGUUUGAUAUGGAUUUAUGAAUAUUUCCUCCCCCCAACAUGAUUUAUGGAUGUUGGUCAUAUGUGAAUUAGACUGUCACCUUUAGUAUGAAAAAGUACAAAUGACAGAUUAUAAAAAAAAAAAAAAGUGCUCAAGUCCUUAGUGCUGGAAAGCAGAGUUCACAAUCCCCUCCUCUGCUUCUUCAUUGGAAGUUUUUGUCUGGAGCUGACAAUUAAAUGUUUGGACUUGAGUCAAGCAUAUGGGAACAUUGAGAGGGCUUGAAUAGAUCUGAACUCAUCUGAACUUCACCUGUGAAGCUUGAGUCAUCCUUGUACUGUGCACUGAAGAAAAAAAUUAUAUAUAUACUACUUGCCAUAGGAACAACUGAUUUACUGUACCACAGCGGCAAGGUGGCCUGGCAGAUUUGCUGUCUGGCUUCCAGUAGUGGCUAGCUCUGAGUGAAGCUUCCAUGAAAAGUGAAAAUAAUCUCACACAACAUGUCCAGUUAUGCAGCACUGCACAGUUGAAGGAGCAAAGUUAAAGGAUGUACAAAACAGUCUGGAUUUCUGUAAUAAUAAUAGUAUCCUAGGUUUAGAUCCAAAGCACUAACUUUUAUACUAACUGUUAUCACUUCCACCAAAACUAUUAGUAUUUGCCAUUUGUUUUGCAACAUGUAGCAACAGCAUGCAUCAGUUUAGGACAGGAGAAGCAGCAUGGUUGCUCCUGGAUUUGAGCCACCUGACUUCAAGCAUAUAACUGAGGCACCUAAGUUAGUACCUAAUCACCCGAGGCUCCCCCAUUGAUGCUGGAAAGUGAUAUGCACCUCCAGAGGGCAAUUCAGCCCACAUGUCCCCAUCCGUUGUCUAUGCAGGCAGACUAAAACAGUACCCCUUCCUAAUUUAGCUCCCCAGUUUGGUGUAGAAAGUCAUGUGGGAGGAAUUAGAGCCCAGCAUGGGAUAUAGCUUUAAAAAGAAGAAACAAUACACCUUGCAUGACAAGAAAACAUUGCUGAUCAUCUUUCAUGCUGAGCUAGCAAAUGUUUCCAUUAUGGGGGAUACAACUGGUUCAUUCUAUGGCUCUUAGACAACUAUAUGCUGAAGCUCAUUUACUGAGGCCCAGACAACGUUGCUUCUCCAGUGGGAGGCUGAUAAUUCUUAGUAGUAAGUAUCUCUGCACUUGUGGGGAAGGGAUGGAUUACUUUGCAGGGAGUCACCAAGGCUGUCUUUGAAUGUCUGGAUAGCACCUAUUACCUCUAAGGAUAAUUGAUCUCUUUUUUUGUAGAUAGCCAAGCAAGAACCUGUGUUAGCAAACCAGUGUCAUGUCUGCUGUUGUGAUGGUAGCUGAGAUGCUUUGCAGUGGUGUUAUGCAGCUUCACAGAACUGAAGUUUCUUGCAAAAAUAAAUGAGGAUUGCCUGUAUGGAACUCAAGAGUGAGAUCCAGUGAUCUUAGCUGACUUGUCAGGAAACCUUCACAACUAUUGGAGGAAACUGCUUAUCAAUUGCAGUAUGUUGAUAUAUAUAAGAAAUAUCUCAUUGCUUGGGCUAAUGAAACUUGUUUCCAUCUAGCAAAUCUAAUCAAUCCAUUCUCAGGCUCCUAAUACUUUUAGUGUGAAAAAGUAGCUGAUUGUUAAGUUGUCUGGCACUUCUA